rnacentral:rRNA from 1 species
UACAGAGGGUGCGAGCGUUGUCCGGAAUCACUGGGCGUAAAGGGCGCGUAGGUGGCGACCCAAGUCCAUGGUGAAAGCUCGAUGCUCAACAUCGAGUCGGCCACGGAUACUGGGUUGCUCGAGCACUGUAGAGGCAGAUGGAAUUCCGGGUGUAGCGGUGGAAUGCGUAGAGAUCCGGAAGAACACCGGUGGCGAAGGCGGUCUGCUGGGCAGUAGCUGACACUGAGGCGCGACAGCGUGGGGAGCAAACAGG